ACUACAAAGAUGGAUAUAAGAAUUGAAUUGGGCCAAACAAAGCUGCUCAUUUCUGGGGCUUACAAUUAUGGACUUCGGGUCCAUUUUCUGAACUGUAUACCAGCUAUAUAUCACAGCUCUUUCCCCUGCGUUUUUUUGGUAUAGACGCUGUAUAUCACCGUACGACAACCGUACAAUUGCUUCCAAUCUUGUUAUGCAUCAUGUUGCACAUAUACCAGCCACUUUCAGAUCAUAAAUACUGUAUAUUUUCUGUAUAUCCGUGUAUAUCAGUAGCUGUUCAUUCAUACUAGUCCUUUUGAAGAAGUAGGAGGCUCGACUCAAUGCUACGGAGGCUUCGCACCAAGGGUAUGCAAGAUGAGGAGUCCAAAUGGACUCAAUCAGGAGAGUUCAUGCACAGAAAACGAGAUAAGGAUGAGCAUCCAAGAAGAAUCUUUAAACAAUAAUCAAGCAAGUAAAAACACUCAAACAAAAUGCUUAAUGCUCAAUUAUGUGAAGCAGAGCAAUCUCAAUACAAAAUGCGAGGCUCGUAAUUAUCACAUUCCGUUAACACCACGCAAUUUCUAUGAUUCAAGCAUUCCGUCCAACAAUUAUACUAUAGUUUACAAGAUUUCCGAGGAAACUUGAAUUAGCUUAUGGAUAUCAAGCUAUGUGCAAACCAGAGAAUGUAUUCAUGAUAGAGAAAAGUACAUAAGAGUUAAAAACUUUGAAUCCCUUAGUCAAAGCCUCGUAUAGCUAUUAUUUAAGCUCCACCUUACAACAAAGAUACUGAUUUUGAAGUAAAUCAAUGACCAAAACAUGCUAUCCUUAGUGAAAUCUUUAGCUUAAUAAUUUGUUCAAACAAUAAAACAUAUACUCAACACACUCAAACAUCAAGAUAAUUCAACACCCAGACUUUACUGUUACUUCCAGAAAACACCAUUCAAACGACCAACAUCCCACGGAGAUCCAACUAUUCUAACAACAACAACACAGUAACAACACUUAACAAAUCGGACCCCAAGAAAAAUACCACGACAAGAAGGAUUAGGAUCCAUUUAAACUUCCACAUAAAUAACAGAUUCAAGAUUUUUCCUUAUUAAUAAAACCUAAUCUAUGGCACAUGGGAGAUGGACAAAAAAGGGGUUACCUUUAUCCGGGCAGCAAAUGGGACGACGAGCCUAAAACGAUGAGGUUUUUCACCACCAGAUUUUAACUCGAUUUCGUCGAAAUUUUGGUUGCGUGAAGUUAGAGACACGCGUCUCCAGAACCCCCAAUUUUUCCCCAAAAAUUCCUCCCCUUGACCCCUAUCCCUCAACCUCUAUUUAUAGGUGAAAAAAGUUGAGGGAUUUUCGGAUUUGAAAACUGAAAUUCAAGUGGUUUCUUCAGAAAUUUUGAAGCCCGUUGUAGGACAAAAAAUAGAGCCGUUGGGCAUUAAUUGCCUACCCGAAAUGGUGAAUUACAGACUGAGAAGGAUGAAAGGUGGACGAAUUUCUAGCCGUUCUUGGCAUUGUUAACCGCUGUCUAACAGUUGUAUCAACAGCUAUUGUUGAAGCUUAUGUUGUACGCUGUUAAGGUUUUGCGUUGAAAUCAUUGCUGUUGUUCGAUGAAAUUGUUGUUGUUGGUUGAACUUGCACGCUGUUAUAGCGUUUGUUGUUGCUCUGGUGGAGUUUUGACUGUGCGUUGUUGUUGAAUUGGGUGAGAAGAGUUAAGGGUAUUGGGUCGGGUCCCUUAUGUGGCGCUGGGCUGGUUGCUGUUGAAGUUGUUAUGGGCUGGGGGUGAGAAAAAUAAGGGGGGUGUGGCCGGAUUUGGGCCA
rnacentral:lncRNA from 1 species